rnacentral:lncRNA from 1 species
UAUGCAUUUGUGCUUAAAUAAAAGUAGUACAUCAUGUUACAGAUGUACGUAUAAAAUAAAUGCAUAUGCUUUUUUGAAAUAACAACACAAUGUAAAAUUUUUUUGCAGGGACAUGUAAAAUUAUUUACACAGGUGAUGAAUAGCACACAGGCAGUUGAAAAAAACAUUUUAGAAAAAAUACUAGAUUCAAAAGAUAAUAGAAUAUUUACAGGAAUAUAUCAGGGUGUUUUACAAAGAUACAAUGAAGUAAUAACAUAUGGGAAUACUAUAAACAUAAAUAAAAAUCGUAUAUUUUCAGAAGUAUUUGAGGGAAUAUCAAUGUACAAUGACGACAAUCAUAUGACACACAAGUUUGAUUUCAAUGAACAUAAUAUAUAUCCGAAAAUAAAAGUCCAAACAACUAAAAAUAAUCAUCACGAAUAUGAGCGAAGUUAUGCAAAAAAAAUAGCUGAAUGGCAAAAAAAUGAUAAUCCAAUGUUAUUCUCUACAGAUAAUUUGAGUUUUGCAAUUAAUAAUCAUCAAAAAGUAAAAAAUAGUCAACACAUAGCACCAUCAAUAGAUGAAUCUGACUUAGAUUAUUUAAACGAUAUUAUUAAAAACGUGAUAAAAAGUAGAAAUAACGAAAAUUACAUUAAAAUUAAAGAUGUUUGCAAUUUACAUAAUUAUGAUGAAGAUGAUUAUCUAAAGACAAAAAAGUCUUUUAUAAGACCUAAUACAAAAUUAAACUCAGAAACUACAAAUGACAACAUUGAAAUGUAUGAAAUAAAUGCACCAAUACUACGAUAUAAUAAAGAUGAAAGUGAAAUAGAGCACAUAAAUAUUAAAAAGCCUAUGAGAAAACAUUUUAUAAACAAUACUCAUGAUGCACAUGUAAAUCUAGAUGAUUUAAAUUUUUAUAAAAAUUUGACUAUAAAUAAAAAACAAGUUUUAACAUUGCUUAAUAGAAGGAAACGAAGAAAUUUAUUUAAAAGAGCUUGUCAUAAAGUUAAAAAGCAUAUAAGUGUUAAAUGGGCGGCUGAAUACUUAUUACGUGCAAUUUUACUCACAAUUGCUACUCCUUUUUUAUGUAUUUGUGCUAUAUAUAUGAUACUAAAGUUAACAUAUAUUGGUGCAAAAGAUCCUAUAGAAUAAAACUCCCUUCAAGAUUGCAGUUAAAGAAAACCGUAGGUAUAGCUUAUUUAUGUAUAAUUAUAUUAUUACUAUUAUAUUAUUACUAUUAUAUUAUUACUAUUAUAUUAUUACUAUUACUAUAAUUACUAUUAUUACUAUAAUUACUAUAAUUACAAUAAUAAUAAUUAUUAUUAUUAUUAUUAUUAUUAUUAUCAUCAUCAUUUUUUUUUUUUUUUUUUUAUUUUUUUUUUUUUUUAUAUUAGUAAUUAUGUGUUGUCAAUUUAGUUUAAUACUUUAGUGUAGUUAGUAAUUGCAUAUGUUUGUAUUUUAUUACAUUUUUUAUCAAUCUGCUUUUUCUUUUUCUUUUUUUUUUAAAUAUAUACUUUAUAUAUAUACGUUCAUUAUUUUAAAAAUUAUCAAUGUUUUUAUUUUUGUGUAGUUUAACCUUUUAUAUUAUCAUGUAUUAUAUGUUUUUUUUUGUAUUUGUAUGUGUGCCAUGUAUAUAUAGUUCGUUUAUAUUAGGCGCAUGAAAAAGUAGCUUUUAAUGCUUCGGUUGUUUCCCAAUUUUAUUUGGCAAUAUACAACAUUCAGCGUGUUUGUAUAAAAUUAAUUUUAAAAAAUAUAUCAUAACAUAUAUUUAAAAGUGUUGUCUUAUUACUGUACGUAUAUAAAGUGUUAAAAAUAAAAAUAUAUGAAAAAAAGAAAAUCUAAUAAGG